rnacentral:lncRNA from 1 species
CCAAAAGUCACACCCUUCGUGCAAGUAAUCUACCGUCUCUUUCCCUUCUUUCUCCCAAUCUAAUUGGUUACAUACUUUCUAUAUUGAUCCGACGGACCCAUUUCCGUGACCCAACCCAUUAAUUUUCUUCAGGCCAUUUGAUUUUGAGCUCUCUCUUAUACCACUCUGCCGCCCUUUCGAAUCAUCUUUUUGACGGUUCGGAGUCGCAGUAUUUCGGGUCCCUUUGAUUGCAACGUAAUUUCCUUUCUCUUCUUUCUUCAUGAUUCAUGUACAAUGUUCAGUUUUCUAUCUAUUUGAAAUUAAGAUCUACUAGUUCUUUAUUAGUAUGCAUGUAAUAUUAUAAUGAUUAAUUAAUUAAUUGACAGUUGAUGCAUUUCCCUACCCACACAGAUGAAUGAUGUGAAUUCGUUAAUUGAAAACUAUUGCUUAUUAAUAAGUAUUCCAAAAUUUAUGUCCUACAGUUGCAAAAACACACGACGUAUUUCUUUCUCUUUCCGGUUUGCGACAUUCAUUAGUAUAUAGUAGUAAUAAUAAUGGUUAAUGGAUUAUAUUUAUUUGUUGAUGUUGUGCUUUCGGGUAACUAGGUUUACAAUUGAAAAUUGUUGAUGAAGAUGAACUAUCAAUAAGAGAAUUUCAAUAUUGCUGGUUCUGUUAGCCUUGAACGAUCCAAAAAUAGUGAACCCCUUCCAAUUGGUAAAUGUAAAGUAAUAUCUUUUACUUCCGAGCUUUCGCUUUAAUUAAUUCAUAACUGAUGUUAUUCAGAAUUGAUAUAUUGUUGUGUUUACCUGAUAACUGCUGUAAUGAAUGGAAAGAAUUUACGUAAAAUAAAGACCUAUUAUGUCUCAUUGGUGUAUAAGUAGCUACCAGGAUCUCUGCUUAAGUGCUUAAAUUGCAAGAAGCAAUUCUUCUUUUUGGCUUGUUUAUAAGGAAGGUUUAAUCUUUUGCUUUCUUUAGCGUUCAUAUGAUUGUACUUAUAUAUUUAUUAAUAUUCUUACCUGCUUUAGUACAAUCCUGCGUGUAAAAUUAUUCAUAUUGAAAUUAUUUUUUUAAUGUUAAUACAAUUUUGCGCAAGUUACACCAUCUGCUUUUGAUUCUACUAUUUAAAAGUUAGACGAUCUUCAGCUUGAUUGCUCAAUGACUUUAUUUUCAAACAAUCAGAACAAAGAACUCUUGAAGUGUAAAGUAAUCCCUGGACAUUUUGACAAGCUAUUCAGAGUUUCAUUUUCUCGAUCACUCUGAUCAGUUUUUCUGAUAGUUUUUUCUCCCUUGACCCUUGCAAGCCCUUCCUUUCAUUUAUGUAAGAAUAGUGAUUCCUACGAGUCUGAAGCCUUGACUCGGGAAAAAGUUCACUACUCCAUCUCCAAAUGGAUUGGUCGCAUCCUUUUUGUUUCUACAAUAAAGUUAAGCUUUUUGUCUCCUUUAUACUAAUUUGAUUGCUUUCAUAAAGUUUAAGAUAUUUUUUGUUAUAUUAGCAGAUUAGUGAUGGACAUGUCUUUCUUUUAGGGUUGUCUAAAUAAAUUAAGGCAAAUUUGUUAAUUAUUUGAGAGUUUCUUGUCCUUAGAUAUCUGAUUUUGUUAUCCCUUUACAAUAUCCCUCCUAAAAUUAGUUUAAGACAGAUUUUCCCAUAUCAAAUCUUAUAAUCUAGCUAAGGCUAAUAAUUUUUUUUCCUGAACAAAUUUUUAGCCACUAACUUUUACAGGGGAAAGUUGGAGUUUGAUUAGGUUUUGAGUAUUGUUGAGAUUGCUUUGAUAGAUAAAAGAUCAUUUUAUUACCAUUACAUCACCAUUAAGAGUGUGCCUAAAUCUUACUAGGGAUGUGUAGCAUUGACUUCAAAUUUAUAGAAGCACAAAAAAACUAUAAUACACAUAAUUUUCCCAACAUAUGCAGAACCUAUAAAAUUUGGUAUACUUUGUUUUCCAGUAGUAAAAGUCCACAGAAAUUAGGAUUGGGACUCAAUCUAACAUUACAAAAAGGAUUUGGUGAUAUCAAUUGAAACUGCUGUGUAUGUGCAUUUUGUGCUUACAACGAAUCUCAAGAAAGCUAUCAUAUGUCAAGGAUUUUUGUCUGGACAUUGACAGGACAUUUAGCAGCUCCAGACAAUCACUCCGUUGCCAAUCCUGGUGAAUGGUGUACUUGCGGCUGAGGGUGGUAUUCUCUUUUAUUAUUCAGUCCUAUAGUCGGGUAUUAGUGGUGAAACAACUUUUCAACCUCGGAUCAGCAGCUAUGCUUGCUAUUCAGACUGGGACAACUGGUAUCAUUGUGUGCUCACUAACUCGAUUUUGUGCCUCUGAAAAUCAUGGCUCUUGAAGAGGUAUGUAACUUGCUUCUAACUUAGUACUUAUUCUUUUUGUCUCAUGUUACCUAAUUUUGGUGUUCAUGUAAUUCCAUUUUUUAGAGGGUGCGGACUAAAUUAUUUUUGCUUAGGUAAUUAGGAAUAAGAAUGAAUUGACAUGGAUAUUAUUAUAUACUCAAUUUUUCUCUGAAUAUUUUAUUCUGAGCUUGAUAUAAAUCUUCUUAUAGAAGUGUUCUUUAGAAGUUUUGUUAGGAUGAAACUUAGUUCAAAUUUUUAUUUCAUAUUGUUAACUUUCUGUGAGUCAUAACUAAAUUUGAGAUGUUUCCAUAGUCUUCUUUAUUUUUGUUACCUGAAUGAUGAAAGUAGUGAGCAACUUCAAAGUUUAAGCAUUAAAUAUGGCAAAUAGUAUGUUGACUUUGGGAAUGUUGACUGCGACUGUGGCUUUUUGCAAUGAUUAGGUGACUUUUUUGGUCUAAGUAUCUUGGAUGAUCGUUCAUUUUUGGAUAUUAUAAUUAUAUAUUGACUUCUAAUUCAAGUUAUUAUUUUCUAUUUUGCUUCUUCGAUAAAUUUUCUGAAUUCAGAACUUCCGUCAUUUUUAUCCAGAUGAUUGGUCAUAGACAAUAUUUUGCAGCGGGCAAAAUAUGAAUUUUCCCUUUGGUGCUCGUAAUUUCUUGCUUGAUGGUCAUUAUGAAAGCAUAGUAUUUUUGUAACAACUAUUGAGAUUAGCUCGAAACUGGAAAAAUCAAGCUCAUGCAAGACCUCCAAUGGAGGUUCUCGAGAGUUCUAAGAGAGCAGAGAGAGAGAGAGAGUAAAGAAUAGAAUGUGAAAUGAUAUUCUGCUUAAUUGCAAAGUGUGUAUAUAUGUACAUGUACACGUAUGACAGCUAAUACAACUAGACUAAUUGUAUAACUACUGUAUAACUACUACAACUAAUAGUGUAUAGUUACAUGCUGACUCAGCACAUAUAUGUACAACUACACAAUAAUUUAAGACUCUCAAUAUCC